UUAAAGCCAGUUCUUCGGAACUGUUCCUUGCACAUAAAGGUUAAAAUAAAUUUAAUGCAAUUAAAAUCUCGACUAUUGUCAUGUAAUGUAGGUAAGGAAACAUGAAGAGAGGAAGACCCCCGCUAAAUAGAGUAGCUUAGGAGGGAUCACUUCGAGAGGACGUUGAUCGACUCUUCGAAAUGCUUGAGAGACUGAUUUCUGCCCAGCAGGUUAGGGAGGAGAGGAGAGAGUUACCUGAUCCCCUUCCACCCCUACCAUAGUAUGAGCCACCUCCACAUCAAGAGGAUCCAUUACCUCCAUGGUAUAACCCAAUUCCUCCACAGUACCAUCCAACACCCCCGCAAUAUAAUCUAAUGCCUCCAUCGUACAACCCGGGGUCGCCCCAAAACCACUUGGUCCUCCCCAGCAUUAUCCAGUUCCCCUCCAGCAGGACCCAGCUCUGCCUACGAUGGACCCAGAUUACAUCGAAAGGUACAAAAAACUUAACCCAUCUAUUUUUACAGAAGCAUCCACUUCUGAGGAUGUUGAGUACAGUUUGGCAGAAGGCCUUCGCAACACUUGAGGUGAUUCCCGAAUAGAAGGUUGUCCUUGUCACGUAUAUGCUCGUGAGGCAGAGUGUUGGUGGCAAAUCGAGCAAGUUACUCUGCCCACUCCGAUUACCUUGGAACAGUUUUUAGCAGCCUUCAAUGCUGAGUACCUUUCGGAACAUCUCCGACAUUUAAAAGAAAUAGAGUUUGCGCAAUUGGUCUAAGGUGAUACAUAAACAGAUGCAAACAUAUUCAUAAACAUAAAAUACAUACAUUAUACGUAUAACUACAUGCAUAUCCACACAUAUGAAUGCAUAUGUAGAAAACAUGUAAAUAUAUGUACUUAUAUAUAUGUGCAUACGUGUGUAAAUGUAUUAUAUAUAGGUUUUUAAUUCAAACUUACUAGUUUCCUCACCCUUUAGUACCUUCUCUACUAAUAAUAAUUACUCCAAACUACAGCCAUUUGUAAAAUACUACAUAGAAAUAAUCCACAGAAUACCACACAUUAACUUUGAGGAACUCACAUUAACAAAAUACUAUACAGGAAUGGCUAGAGAAAAACCGAGAAGCAAGAUUACCCCUCACUGAACUAACUAAUCCUGCCACCUGUAUAAACUUUUCAGUUUUUCUAAUGGAAUUACUACUUCUACUUGCAAUCACAAAAUUCUCCACCUAAUUUCACCAACAUUCACUUUAAAACUCCUAGUAAAUGUUAUUUUAAACACAUUGUCUAUUUAUAACAACAAUUUAGUUAGCGAACACUCCAUAAUAGUUAUAAUUUGUCAAAUAGAGAGACUGCAAUUGAAGUACUAACAACUUACGCAUAAGAUAUUGCAGGUGAACAUAGAGAAAACCUGACGAAGAUGGAGCAUCGACUGAGGAGGCUCUGACUUGGAGAACAGGCAGAGAAAUUCGAGCCGAUGAAUGGAAGCAGAGAGGGCAUGGGAGAGUGAAGAUAGCGUUGAGGAAGAGGACAGAGGGAGGAGGGAGGUGAGGAGAGAGAGCUGACAUGAUGACUCGGUGAGUCGAAAUGGGCCCGAUUCCUAUCUGGGAAGUCACAGCCACUUGUUUCAGACCAUAUAUUGUAAUAAGCGCAAAACAAGCAAAUAAUGCAGUUGAGGCAUUUUUGUUGUUGAGUUUUUUAAUGAGCUACACGCGCUUCAGGUGUACCUUUUAGUCUAUUGAGUAUUUGUAGCAACUCACUCUCUUCUAAUUUGAUUAUAAUCUUUUAUAAUUAUAUAAAAUAAU
rnacentral:lncRNA from 1 species